AACGAACGCUGGCGGCGUGCCUAACACAUGCAAGUCGUACGAGAAAUUACGCUUCGGCGUGAGAGUAAAGUGGCGCACGGGUGAGUAACGCGUGGGUAACCUACCCUUCAUCCUGGGAUAACUCGCCGAAAGGCGUGCUAAUACCGGAUAUUGUCCCAGAGGCUCUGGCCUUUGGGAUGAAAGGUGGCCUCUUCUUGAAAGCUGCCGUUGAAGGAUGGGCCCGCGUACCAUUAGCUAGUUGGUAGGGUAACGGCCUACCAAGGCGACGAUGGUUAGCUGGUCUGAGAGGAUGAUCAGCCACACUGGAACUGAAACACGGUCCAGACUCCUACGGGAGGCAG
rnacentral:rRNA from 1 species